AUUCCAUAUUACACUUAUCAAUAUUACACUUAGCAAGACAAAGCACACUUCAUUUUCUUCCUCACACUUCACUCUCGGCUCUCACUCAAUCUCUCUCUCUAUACUCUCUUUUCCUCCAUUGAUGUCCAUUGAAGAAAGCUUAGAGAAGCUUCAUCAAACACUACUAUGAGAUAAUCCACCAUCCAAUCCAAUCAAAUACUAUCAUAUCUCAUCAAAUUCAAGAAGCUAGAGCUAAGAUCAAAGUUGGAGCAAAGUCUUGAUCACCUUUUAAAUCCUUGAGCUUUGUGACCAGGGGAAUUAGCGCUGCUUUCCCAAGACAGGUUUAUAUGUGAUUAUGAUCUUCAGGCUUUGCCUAACCAGGUUGGCUGGCCGGUGCUGACGGGACGGAGCUGAGGCUAGAGUUAAAUUCCUAUGUUAGACUUCCGCUGUAGCAAUUACUCAUAUCAGUCUUUUGUUUUCUCAACUUAAGAUCUUCAUGUUAAAUUUCAAAUGAUAUACCUGACCGAGCUUAGACUCUUCACUACUAAAUUUAUGCUAAUGAAUGUCGGUUGUCAGAAGCAUGAAACAAAACUUGUGAUCCAAAGGGGCAUAGCCCGACUCUCUAUCUUAUUAUUCGGGUUUUAACAAGGUUGUUCCUUGUUUAA